rnacentral:rRNA from 1 species
AAUGAACGCUGGCGGCAUGGAUUAGGCAUGCAAGUCGAACGAUAAGCCCUUCGGGGUGGAAAGUGGCGAAAGGGUGAGUAACGCGUGAGUAACUUGCCUCCGAAUCGGGGAUAACAGUUGGAAACGACUGCUAAUACCGGAUGUGACUAUUGAAUCGCAUGUUUUAAUAGUUAAAGAUCUUUUGUUCGGAGAUAGGCUCGCGUCCCAUUAGUUAGUUGGUAAGGUAACGGCUUACCAAGACUUUGACGGGUAGGUGGUCUGAGAGGAUGGUCACCCACACUGGGACUGAGACACUGCCCAGACUCCUGCGGGAGGCUGCAGUCGAGAAUCUUCCGCAAUGCGCGAAAGCGUGACGGAGCAAUGCCGCGUGAAUGAUGAAGGCCUUCGGGUCGUAAAGUUCUGUCAGGGGUGAAGAACAUUGACAUUAACCCCAGAGGAAGCCACGGCUAACUACG